UCCACGCCGUAAACGAUGGAUACUAGUUGCUGGGAGUACUUCGGUACUUUCAGUGACUAAGCGAAAGUGAUAAGUAUCCCACCUGGGGAGUACGGUCGCAAGAUUGAAACUCAAAGGAAUUGACGGGGGCCCGCACAAGCGGUGGAGCAUGUGGUUUAAUUCGAUGAUACGCGAGGAACCUUACCAGGGCUUAAAUGCAGGCUGCAUGGGGUAGAGAUACCCCUUUCUUCGGA
rnacentral:rRNA from 1 species